rnacentral:rRNA from 1 species
AUUGAACGCUGGCGGCAGGCCUAACACAUGCAAGUCGAACGAGCGGCGGACGGGUGAGUAAUGUAUGGGGAACUGCCUGAUGGAGGGGGAUAACUACUGGAAACGGUAGCUAAUACCGCAUACCAUCAGAUGUGCCCAUAUGGGAUUAGCUUGUUGGUGGGGUAACGGCUCACCUAGGCGACGAUACCUAGCUGGUCUGAGAGGAUGAUCAGCCACACUGGGACUGAGACACGGUCCAGACUCCUACGGGAGGCAGCAGUGGGGAAUAUUGCACAAUGGGCGCAAGCCUGAUGCAGCCAUGCCGCGUGUAUGAAGAAGGCCUUCGGGUUGUAAAGUACUUUCAGUCGGGAGGCGUUACCCACAGAAGAAGCACCGGCUAACUCCGUGCCAGCAGCCGCGGUAAUAC